AAUUUAUUAUCCUCCCAUUUGUGUCCCUCGUCUCCUUCCAUCUUCUUCGUCCGGUAACUCAUCCACUACUCUUCCGCCCACGCGGUCAAACUUUCGCCCCGAUUUCUCUUCCGCCAACGGUCGGAGUUUCGCGCGCCCAUCCUCGAUUUCUCUUCCGCCCCGAUCUCUCUUCCACCCACGGUUGGAGUUCCGCGCGCCCAGCCCCGAUUUCUCUUCCGCCCACAGUCGGAGUUUCGCGCGCCCAGGAACUUCUGCCCCGAUUUCGUCAGGCUGCUAGAAGGUUGAGAAGUUGCUAGACGACAAACUUAAGCUAGGAAUUGUUUCUAGACAUGUAUGGGCAGGAAACUUAUGAUGAAAGCCAAAAAUCUCCAUCUAAAGACAAGAAUAUGAAGUGUGGAUAGCAACAAUAUCAUUCGUUGGAAAUCUCUCCAUCUGGCCAAUUUUCUCAAACCUGUCAUUCCUGAAGAUGAGAAUGCAUCAGAAUUUUCAGUUUCUCCUGAUGGACAUAUCCUUAGCAAAGAGCAUUGGAGAACACAAAUAAUAUUUUACUUCAUUGAAAAUUUGCAAUUUCUCUGUAAGGCAACUUUCUUUAUAAAUUCAACAUCUCUUGUAUGGUACUUCUCUCCUCUCUCUUGUAUGAUACUUCUCUCCUCUAGCCUGAGUGUGACGUGAUUUUAAAAUUUUGGGUUAACUUAUUGUGUGUCUUGAACAAUUGAUGAGACCUAGUUGUGCUUCUUUCGAUUUAAGUGCUUUUUUCAUACAUAUAUUGAUAUAUAAAGUCCAAGACCUAAAUGUGCUUUGACAAGUUUAUUGUGUUCAUGGAUUUGACUUGAUUUGGUUAUUGCAGGAAAGGUCAUAGCAUGGUGCUGUUAUUGAACUUUUCACUUUUUAGAACAUAAUGUUCCAAUGUUUUGGUUUAUGUUGAGUACUGGGUAGCUCUAUUAUGUUAAUCUAAUUAUCUUUUUUCUUUUGUGUUUGUUGUUUAUGAGGCGAGUUUUGUCUGACUGCAAAAUGAUCUAAUGAAAAACGCUGUCAAAUGUUUUAUAGCAACGUAUAUAAGCUAUAUUUUCAUACUCUACGAUAACACUCAUUAUAGUUUCAGAAAAGCGCAAUAAAAAGCUCAGACUUUUAAUUACAUGGGUUGUCAGGACUAUGGAAAAAUGCUAUAAAAAGUCUGUUAUAACCUUUUUCGUUAGCUAUUGUAUAUGUUAUUUCUUGUAGUGUGGUGUGAAGCUAUUCCUAGAUACGUUGCUAAUAUGCCAUUUUUUAUUUUGCCAUUAGCUGGAUAAUUAAACCUUAUUUGUCUUGCUGCUACUCCCAGGCAGGGGUUUAAGUCUAACAUGGAGUAACGAUGUAGAACGUAUAUUUUCAGGGAGCAGUGAUGGUUACUCUUACUUGUCUUUUGCCAAAUGCAUAAUCAAGAUCACCAUGGUGAGGAUUAUUCAUAGUCCUCUGCACUAAGGGAUGUGUGCUUCAAACUUGGAGUCUUCAUCCAAAGAUAAGGGGGUUCUUUCAUGGUUACUCAUUUAUUACGGUUCUCAUGAUCCUAAAUCAUGCCCUCAGGUAUUAAACAAUUGCACACUUAGAGAUAUUAGCAUCAAUAGUAGAUUUUAUCUUAGGCUGACUUUAUGGAAGUCUUUGUUAUUCAGUCAAUUAAGUCUUGUGGGUUUGUAGUGUGAAAAUAUACACUACAAAAAUAGCACCAAGCCUAUUUUCUUAAUUUUCUUAUAUCUAGAAAAAUAUGGUGACAACAUUUGUUUUACCAGUGGCAUUGCUGGAUCUAUGAUGUUGAAGUAUGUAGAUAAUAUUGUGAAGGUAUUGCUUAUUAGAACUACAAGGCCUUAAUUCAUUUGAUGAAUUUAUUUGUACCUUUAAGGUCCUACUGCUUAAAGUUGUUAUAUUGCAAUCCUACUACAAUCAUCAUCAAAUGUGUAUGUGAUGUGUUGUGUAUGUGCCGUGUUGUUGAAGUGUGUUAUAUAUGUGUUAUGUUGUUGAUGCGUAGAGUCUUACUCUAAAAUUUCUUUUGCAAGAAUCCUUUGGAGCAAUGAAGUCAUAUUUGCGACAAUUCAUUGAUGUAUUAACCUUUUUGUAGGUUUGGUAGCAAAAUUUUAGUUCAAUUGUACUUAUUUAAAUAGCUUGUUUGUACCAAAACAUAUAUGUUCAUUGCUUCAUUGUACAAACACUUUAUCAACAACUGUACAGAUAUUAGAAAUUGUAUGUUGUAUAUAUAUUAAAGUGUUCACUAUUUCUUUCCA